rnacentral:pre_miRNA from 1 species
UAAUGGUUAUGAUAAUGAUGAUGAUGAUGAUGAUGAUGAUGAUUAUAAUAUUAAUAAUAAUAAUUCAUCAUCGUCAUCGUCAUCAUCAUUAUUAUAA